rfam:Brassica napus, WGS project CCCW01000000 data, contig: 16736
GAAGGCAGUGACGACUCGGAAAUAUUCAAGCUCAACAGACCGGAAUUAGGCGUUUCUUUCGAGACUCGUUUCUGUGUCGAUAAUCCCGCUGAACUGAGCCUUC